rnacentral:rRNA from 1 species
GACGAACGUUGGCGGCGUGCUUAAUACAUGCCAGUCAACUGAAGCAGUGGUAGCAAUAUCGCUGUGGAGGUGGCGCACGGGUGAGUAACACGUAGGUAAUCUGCCUUCAGGUCUGGCAUAACUCCGGGAAACCGGGGCUAAUAGCAGAUGAUGCAGCGGCUCGACAUCGAGACAGUUGUUAAAGCUAUGGCGCCUGAAGAUGAGCCUGCGUCUGAUUAGCUAGUUGGCGGGGUAACGGCCCACCAAGGCAACGAUCAGUAGCUGGACUGAGAGGAUGAUCAGGAACACUGGAACUGAGACACGGUCCAGACUCCUACGGGAGGGAGCAGUAAGGAAUAUUGCUCAAUGGGAGAAAUCCUGAAGCAGCAACGCCGCGUGAGGGACGAAGGGCUUUUGCUUGUAAACCUCUGUAGUGAGAGAAAAAAAUCCCAAUCUUUGGGACAUGAUGGUAUCUCAAAAGUAAGCCCCGGCUAACUACGUG